GUGAGGAAUAUUGGUCAAUGGACGAGAGUCUGAACCAGCCAAGUAGCGUGAAGGAUGACUGCCCUAUGGGUUGUAAACUUCUUUUAUAAGGGAAUAAAGUGAGGGACGUGUCCCUUUUUGUAUGUACCUUAUGAAUAAGGAUCGGCUAACUCCGUGCCAGCAGCCGCGGUAAUACGGAGGAUCCAAGCGUUAGCCGGAUUUAUUGGGUUUAAAAGGAGCGUAGGUUGACAUAUAAGUCAGCUGUGAAAGUUUACGGCUCAACCGUGAAAUUGCAGUUGAUACUGUAUGUCUUGAGUGUACAAGAGGUGGGAGGAAUUCGUUGUGUAGCGGUGAAAUGCUUAGAUAUCACGAAGAACUCCAAUUGCGAAGGCAGCUCACUGGGGUACAACUGACACUGAGGCUCGAAAGUGUGGGUAUCAAACAGGAUUAGAUACCCCGGUAGUCC
rnacentral:rRNA from 1 species